AACAGCUGAAGGUUAAUUAGCAGUGUUGCUGUAUAUAGUUACUGCUGCCAGUCUCCUUCAGACAA
rnacentral:miRNA from 1 species